rnacentral:rRNA from 1 species
AGAGUUUGAUCAUGGCUCAGGAUGAACGCUGGCGGUAUGCCUAACACAUGCAAGUCGUACGAGAGUUUUUAACUCUAGUGGCGGACGGGUGAGUAACACGUGAGAAUUUGCCUUUAGGAGGGGGAUAACAAUUGGAAACGAAUGCUAAUACCCCAUAUGCUUUUGAGUGAAACGGAUUUAUCCGCCUAGAGAGAAGCUCGCGGCUGAUUAGCUUGUUGGUAAGGUAAGAGCUUACCAAGGCGACGAUCAGUAUCUGGUUUGAGAGGACGAUCAGACACACUGGAACUGAGACACGGUCCAGACUCCUACGGGAGGCAGCAGUGGGGAAUUUUCCGCAAUGGGCGAAAGCCUGACGGAGCAAUACCGCGUGAGGGAAGACUGCCUAUGGGUUGUAAACCUCUUUUUUCAGGGAGGAAUAAAUGACGUGUACCUGAAGAAUAAGCAUCGGCUAACUCCGUGCCAGCAGCCGCGGUAAGACGGAGGAUGCAAGUGUUAUCCGGAAUCACUGGGCGUAAAGCGUCUGUAGGUGGCCUAAUAAGUCAACUGUUAAAUCUUGAGGCUCAACUUCAAAAUCGCAGUCGAAACUAUUAGACUAGAGUAUAGUAGAGGUAAAGGGAAUUUCCAGUGGAGCGGUGAAAUGCGUAGAUAUUGGAAAGAACACCGAUGGCGAAAGCACUUUACUGGGCUAUUACUAACACUCAGAGACGAAAGCUAGGGUAGCAAAUGGGAUUAGAUACCCCAGUAGUCCUAGCCGUAAACAAUGGAUACUAGAUGUUGAACAGAUCGACCUGUGCAGUAUCAAAGCUAACGCGUUAAGUAUCCCGCCUGGGAAGUAUGCUCGCAAGAGUGAAACUCAAAG